UGUUGGUUAGAUCUACUGAAGGAUUAUGACUGCAAUAUUUCUUAUCACCCUAGAAAGGGUAAUGUCAUAACUGACACCCUUAAUAGAAGAAGUUCUAUAUUUAUUGCUUAGUUGAUAAUCUCAAAAUUACAGUUGCUCUCAACUAUCCAGGAUUUAUCAGUGGACACCACGAAUGAUGGUGCCUUUCUUGCCUAUUUGCAUAGUCAGCCUUAUUCCAUUGAGAGAAUUAGGGAUGUUUAGUCUAGAGAUUUUCGAGCUCAGAAAUAAAGGGAAUAGAUCUCUCUUGGCAAUAAGACUGAAUUUAAGGUCUCUUAUGAUGAUCUAGUGCAAUUCAGGAACUAUUUGUGGGUACUAGAGGAUUCCAAGUUGAGAUAGGAUAUUUGAGGGAGGACCAUUCCUCCCGAUUAUUUAUCCA
rnacentral:lncRNA from 1 species